rnacentral:rRNA from 1 species
GACGAACGCUGGCGGCGUGCCUAAUACAUGCAAGUAGAACGCACAGUUUAUACCGUAGCUUGCUACACCAUAGACUGUGAGUUGCGAACGGGUGAGUAACGCGUAGGUAACCUGCCUGGUAGCGGGGGAUAACUAUUGGAAACGAUAGCUAAUACCGCAUAAUAUUAAUUAUUGCAUGAUAAUUAAUUGAAAGGUGCAAUUGCACCACUACCAGAUGGACCUGCGUUGUAUUAGCUAGUAGGUGAGGUAACGGCUCACCUAGGCGACGAUACAUAGCCGACCUGAGAGGGGGAUCGGCCACACUGGGACUGAGACACGGCCCAGACUCCUACGGGAGGCAGCAGUAGGGAAUCUUCGGCAAUGGACGAAAGUCUGACCGAGCAACGCCGCGUGAGUGAAGAAGGUUUUCGGAUCGUAAAGCUCUGUUGUAAGAGAAGAACGGGUGUGAGAGUGGAAAGUUCACACUGUGACGGUAUCUUACCAGAAAGGGACGGCUAACUACGUG